GGGGGGAGGCCGGAUUCUGGGCUGUGUCCCUGGCGCCCUGUGCUCCCGGGCCUGCGCUGUUGGAUUCGCGCUACCGGCCCGCAGCCCCCU
rnacentral:pre_miRNA from 1 species